GGAUGUUACCGUUUUGUUGACCACGAAACAACUUGUACAAAACAUGGUGGCAAAGGCUGUAGCCGUUCUCCUCCUUGUGUGCUGUCUUGCAUUGACCUCUGAUGCCAGGGGGACUCAACAGUGUCCCUUUGGACAAAUACAAGUCGGGACGUGCAGUGCCCAUACGUGGUGGAAGUGCUAUCUUGGACAAUGCAUCCCAGUUAAUGGCCACUUUGGUAUCUGCUGUAAAAAGUUCUCUCAUGGCGGAUAUUACUAAUGUCCCGGGCAGAAGGUUUUCAAUUUUAUAACAAAGAAAUAAAGACUUCUAAAUAAUA